CAAAAGAAGAUUUAAUAAGUAGUUUCCGGUUCGGAUCAAAACCGGUUAUAAAACUGGUAUCAAACCUGAAAUUACUCAUAAUUAUCCAAGUUUUUGGAUUGUCGGCUCCACAAAGAAUAUACACAAGUUCUGCAGAGUCUCUCUUGUGCUGAGAAGAAAUACGAGAGGACUUUGCUCGCAGGGUAAGCCUGUUACUGAAGUCAAUAAAAAGUGGACAGUGAUUGGGAUGCACAAAAAUAACAACCAAUCAAAAUGGCGAUUGUUAAUUACGUAUCAGUCAAUUCCAGCAGUGCCCAUCCCCCCGAGGUAUUAGCCAUUUCUGGGAAGAAAAUGGCUAUGUCCACAAGCCAUUUUCAAUCA
rnacentral:lncRNA from 1 species